ensembl:snRNA U6 U6 spliceosomal RNA
GUGCUUGCUUUGGCAGCACAUAUACUAAAAUUGGAAUGAAACAGAUUAGCAUGGCCCCUGCACAAAGAUGACAUCCAAAUUCAUGAAGCAUUCUGUAUUUUU